rnacentral:rRNA from 1 species
GGAAUCUUGCACAAUGGGGGAAACCCUGAUGCAGCGACGCCGCGUGAACGAUGAAGCCCUUCGGGGUGUAAAGUUCUUUCGACAGGAACGAUAAUGACGGUACCUGGAGAAGAAGCUGCGGCUAACUACGUGCCAGCAGCCGCGGUAAUACGUAGGCAGCGAGCGUUGUUCGGAGUUACUGGGCGUAAAGAGUGCGUAGGCGGCGAGCCAAGUUUGGUGUGAAAUCUCCCGGCUUAACCGGGAGGGUGCGCCGAAAACUGGUUGGCUGGAAUAUGGGAUAGGAAAGCGGAAUUCCUGGUGUAGCGGUGAAAUGCGUAGAUAUCAGGAGGAACACCUGCGGUGUAGACAGCUUUCUGGACCAAAACUGACGCUGAGGCACGAAAGCGUGGGUAGCAAACA